rnacentral:rRNA from 1 species
GAUGAACGCUGGCGGCGUGCCUAAUACAUGCAAGUCGAGCGAACGGACGAGAAGCUUGCUUUUCUGAUGUUAGCGGCGGACGGGUGAGUAACACGUGGAUAACCUACCUAUAAGACUGGGAUAACUUCGGGAAACCGGAGCUAAUACCGGAUAACAUUUUGAACCGCAUGGUUCAAAAGUGAAAGACGGUCUUGCUGUCACUUAUAGAUGGAUCCGCGCUGCAUUAGCUAGUUGGUAGGGUAACGGCUUACCAAGGCAACGAUGCAUAGCCGACCUGAGAGGGUGAUCGGCCACACUGGAACUGAGACACGGUCCAGACUCCUACGGGAGGCAGCAGUAGGGAAUCUUCCGCAAUGGGCGAAAGCCUGACGGAGCAACGCCGCGUGAGUGAUGAAGGUCUUCGGAUCGUAAAACUCUGUUAUUAGGGAAGAACAUAUGUGUAAGUAACUGUGCACAUCUUGACGGUACCUAAUCAGAAAGCCACGGCUAACUACGUG